rnacentral:rRNA from 1 species
UACGGGGGGGGCAAGCGUUGUUCGGAAUUACUGGGCGUAAAGGGCUCGUAGGCGGCCAACUAAGUCAGACGUGAAAUCCCUCGGCUUAACCGGGGAACUGCGUCUGAUACUGGAUGGCUAGAGGUUGGGAGAGGGAUGCGGAAUUCCUGGUGUAGCGGUGAAAUGCGCAGAUAUCAGGAGGAACACCGGUGGCGAAGGCGGGUCUCUGGGCCGAUACUGACGCUGAGGAGCGAAAGCGUGGGGAGCGAACAGG